GGAUUGGUAGUCUAAUGGUAAAGUGUCUUAACUUGUAUUCUCUUGCUUCGCUACAAUUCCCCAGAAAUUCCCCGUUCGAUUCGGGGCCAAUCCA